UGGGCAACCUGCCCUCAGCUCUGGGAUAACUCCAAGAAAUUGGGGCUAAUACCGGAUAUGACUGCUGACCGCAUGGUCUGGUGGUGGAAAGAUUUAUCGGCUGGGGAUGGGCCCGCGGCCUAUCAGCUUGUUGGUGGGGUGAUGGCCUACCAAGGCGACGACGGGUAGCCGGCCUGAGAGGGCGACCGACCACACUGGGACUGAGACACGGCCCAGACUCCGUACGGGAG
rnacentral:rRNA from 1 species